rnacentral:piRNA from 1 species
UAUCUUCCCAAGGACCAGGUGUGACCAGU